CGGGCGAUCGCGGGGGUUUCGUUUCGGCGGGAACCUCGAGGAAAGUCCGGACACCACAGGGCAGCGCGCCUCGUGAAAGCGGGGGCCGGGCCGGUGCAAGCCGACCCGGACGGAAAGUGCAGCAGAAAGAAUACCGCCCCGAGUUUCGGCAAAGGGUAAGGGUGAAAUGGUGGGGUAAGAGCCCACCGCUCCAAGGGUAACCGAGGAGGCACGGCAAACCCCGCGUGGUGCAAGACAGAACAGGGGAAGGGCUGCCCGCCCGCAGCAUUCCCGGGUAUUAGUCGCACCCCGCUCCGGCGGGGUCCAUCCGCUGUAAGGCGGAUGGAAGAGAAAUGAUCGCCACCCCACGCGGGUCGCAAGGUCCGCCGAGGGGGACAGAAUCCGGCUUACAGG
rnacentral:RNase_P_RNA from 1 species